rnacentral:rRNA from 1 species
AGCGAACGCUGGCGGCAGGCUUAACACAUGCAAGUCGAGCGGGCAUCCUUGUGGUGUCAGCGGCAGACGGGUGAGUAACGCGUGGGAACGUGCCCUGCGGUUCGUAAUAACUCAGGGAAACUUGAGCUAAGACCGGAUACGUGCGAGAGCAGAAAGUUUUAUCUGCCGAAGGAUCGUCGCGCGUGUGAUUAGAUAGUUGGUGAGGUUACGGCUCACCAAGGCGACGAUCAGUAGCUGGUCUGAGAGGCUGAGCAGCCACACUGGGACUGAGACACGGCCCAGACUCUUACGGGAGGCAGGAGUGGGGAAUAUUGGAACAUGGCGGCAACCCUGAUCCAGCCAUGCCGCGUGAGUGAUGACGGCCUUAGGGUUGUAAAGCUCUUUUCUCCGGGACGAUAAUGACGGUACCGGAGGAAUAAGCCCCGGCUAACUUCGUG